ACGCACGCUGCUGGUACUGCUGCUCGUGUUGGUGGCUACGGCCACACUCGUCGCCCCCGCGGCAGCCUGGAGGUGGCCCUGGGAGAAGCCAAAAAUUACCGCAGAGAUGAUCAAGAUGCAGCAGAGGUGUGGGUCCGGAACGGUGCUAGUCGGCAGCAGGUGUAGGAGGGUCUACAUGGCAUGAGGUGGCUGGGGACAUUCUUAAUGUGGACGACAACAUUUCAAAAGAAUGGAAAAAGUGGAAGCUUUUAUAUGUAAAUAAAUUUUGUACAGUUAUUUAUAAUGUAAGUAAUACAUGUAACACUUUUUUAAAAGAA